rnacentral:rRNA from 1 species
GAUGAACGCUGGCGGCGUGCUUAACACAUGCAAGUCGAACGAAGCACUCAUGACAGAUUCUUCGGAUGAUGGAUUGAUUGACUGAGUGGCGGACGGGUGAGUAACGCGUGGGUAACCUGCCUCAUACAGGGGGAUAACAGUUAGAAAUGACUGCUAAUACCGCAUAAGCGCACAGUACCGCAUGGUACGGUGUGAAAAACUCCGGUGGUAUGAGAUGGACCCGCGUCUGAUUAGCUAGUUGGUGGGGUAACGGCCUACCAAGGCGACGAUCAGGAGCCGGCCUGAGAGGGUGAACGGCCACAUUGGGACUGAGACACGGCCCAAACUCCUACGGGAGGCAGCAGUGGGGAAUAUUGCACAAUGGGGGAAACCCUGAUGCAGCGACGCCGCGUGAGCGAUGAAGUAUUUCGGUAUGUAAAGCUCUAUCAGCAGGGAAGAAAAUGACGGUACCUGACUAAGAAGCACCGGCUAAAUACGUGCCAGCAGCCGCCGUAACAC